UACGAAGGGGGCUAGCGUUGCUCGGAAUUACUGGGCGUAAAGGGCGCGUAGGCGGAUAGUUUAGUCAGAGGUGAAAGCCCAGGGCUCAACCUUGGAAUUGCCUUUGAUACUGGCUAUCUUGAGUUCGGGAGAGGUGAGUGGAAUGCCGAGUGUAGAGGUGAAAUUCGUAGAUAUUCGGCGGAACACCAGUGGCGAAGGCGACUCACUGGCUCGAUACUGACGCUGAGGCGCGAAAGCGUGGGGAGCAAACAGG
rnacentral:rRNA from 1 species